UGUGUUAAAUACUCAGUCCCCGGC
rnacentral:piRNA from 1 species